AAUGCUCACAGAAAACUGGGAAAUGUGAAUAAAUUUAAACCUGUAUUUUUAAUCAUUUAUCCUAAUGUAAAAGACAAUAUAUAAUCCAUAGUAGGGAUUUAUUUUUUAAAAGCUUCCAACUUUUAUGCAGAUCAAAUGAUUCUAGUCAAGGAAAUUUAGGUUUUUACAAGGUAGCAAUUUUCAAAACAAAAAACACAGUGGAAAGUAUCAAAAAGCACUAUUACUUACCUAGAACCAUGCUGAUCUUGAGAAAACUCAACUAUGUGUCCAAUCAAGUCUCUAAGUUGAAGGUUUGGGAAGCGGUUAUUUCUGAAAUCUUCCAAUAAUCUGCUUCGGCCGGAAGGCAUAAUGUCAGACCUAUUAUACCGGAGCC